GAGCAGGAAGUCGUUCAGACUCUUCCCUU
rnacentral:sRNA from 1 species